rnacentral:rRNA from 1 species
AAGCGCUUGCAAUCAGAUUUUGUUUAUAAUUGAUCAUCUAGUGUUCUUUUCACUGGUGCUACUCAGUUAUAAUCAGGCCAGUAUCAGUUUAGACGGUUGGAUAAAGGCUUUAGGAAUGUAGCUCUCUUCGGGGAGUGUUAUAGCCUAAGGUGGAAUGCAACCUGCCUAGACUGAGGACCGCGCUUCGGCUAGGAUGCUGGCGUAAUGGUUGUAAGCGA